AGGUUUUUCCCGGGGUCACACAAUUGGCAAAUAUAUAAGCCUAAGGUAGAAUUUGAACUCAGAUCGGUCCACGGAGUCGUCCAACUGCCCGGUGAAUAUUUACUGGGUUUGCAGCCUCGGGGUCAAGGGCAUAGAAUGGGUAACCGUGUCGGUUCCUCCACCAAACCUCCCGAGGCUGGAUCAGGCCCCAUCCCCCACCCCGGGGCAGCCUCGGCCGAAGAAAGCCAGAAACGAAGACAAUGCUGAGGAAAUUAACCUUCUCCCUGCCCAAGGGCUGCCUAAAGGGUUUUUCUUGGUUCCUAAAUGGGGGGGGGGGGGGGGCGGGGAGAGGUGGCCAGGCCAUUGAGGGGACACGUUAAGUAGAAGUGACCGCUUUUCCAAAAGAAACAAAAAUGUUAGAAAAACAAAGGAUCAAAAUGAAGGCAAGAGGGAGAAGAAGGGAAGCUGGAACUCUCUCCAGUUCAUGUCCCUAAGGUUUCUAGCCCAAUGGCGAAUUUAAAAAAUCCCAGAGCACCCAAAGACAUAAGCUGCAGUUGUUCUAGAAGAUUCGCUGGUAAGUACAUUUAAAAUUCCAUUUUCUAAAUGGCUCCUUUGGAAAUGCCAGGCCCUUCCCAGGGUACCUCCCACCCUGAGCUGCUAUCGAAUGUUAACCAAGGGCCGGGCUAAGUCGGUCUGGGGGCCCCCCACCCACCGCCAAUGGGGAGCAGCUGGGUCUCCCAAGCCACAUCUGGUGGUUUCACUUCAGCCGAAUUCCGAGUAUUCGUCCCAUUUCCAUUACUGAGGUGUGCAUAUGUUAGAACCAACUCCCUUUGGCAGAGCAUCCCCCAUAAUGCCAUUUGGCAGGGUAUCACUGGGCGGGCCGGCUGGUGGUCCCCCCCCCCAGGCCCCUCUCCCCGGCCGGGAGGAGGGAAGUGUGCCAGCUCGUCUCGGGGAGGUAAGGGAUCGAGCCGUGGUGUCUGGGGCCUGGGUCCGAUCUUCCCUUAAACGCCCUGCUGUGGUUCCCCGAUUCCCCCAAACGAGGCUGUAAAGAAGUCAUUGGGGAUGUUUGGAUCACUGCCUCCCCUUCCAAUCGGGAUUCAGAGCAAUGACAACAUCCAAAUGAUGUUUGUUGUCCUGGGGCUAGGCAGAUAUCUGCCCAUGAAACAGAUGUCUGGGAACAUCUGGAAAAGAUCAAAAUGUAACCGUAUGACAGACAGCAGCUCCAGGCAGGCACAUCUCUUCUUUUCCCACCCGUCCUGCUGACUCACAGGAUAUGCCAGCACCUCCUCAGCCCCCCUGCUUUGGGGGCCCUUCCUUCCUUCCUUCCAUCCUUCCAUCCCUCUGGUUGGAAGGGGGGGGGGACAUGACUCCCAGAGCAUGUGACCUUGUCAUUUCCCCAGCAGUCACCCUCCCGGACUUCAUGACCUCCAGAAACUCAUCCUUGUGCAAGAUGAGAUCCAAGUUCUUAUUAAUGUCCUCCAGAGCCUCUACUGAUUGCUCACUCACACUCUGCCCACCCAACAGUCAUUGGUGCUGAUGUCAGAAACAACAUCUGACUUUCAACAAACACUGGAACAUAGCUGCUGUGAGGAGUUUCUUCACAAGUAUAAAGCCAUCAUAUUUUCAUCUAUGUGCAAUUACCUCAAAUGUAAGCAGUGGUACAACAAUUGUCAUCCAGCUGAUUGCCAUUGUUAUAUGCGUCCUCCUCUGUUCUGCAAUAACGUCCAUAGAGCGUAAGAACAAGACGGACCAAACAAUGUAAUAUAGCACCACCAGGCACAAGAAGGACAUCAAAAUCCACAAUGGAACACAAACAACCUGGAGAAAAAAAAUAUUUAUUGGUUAGCACCUUACUGAUGAAGUAGCAUGUGGCAGGGCUUGGUAAAAGCUUGCAUCAGCAAGGUUAAAAGAAUAAGACUUGUACUCCUAUAGCA